GUAAUCUUUCUCUCUAUUCUACAACAUUUGUUUCACAAGCAUUUUUCAGUACCAAAUCUCCUGCAAUGCACAUAAAAUUAUUGGCCAAAGUUGAUUGAUUAAAACAUAGAACAAAGUCUAAAAAACUACACAAUGCCUGCUCCUUUUGUGUCAAAAGUUGACACUGGUUUGAACAUUGGCUUGACUUCGAAGGAUUUAAUAUUGUCCUACUAAAAUGUGAAAGUAAU
rnacentral:lncRNA from 1 species